rnacentral:ncRNA from 1 species
AACCACCUUGUCUUGGGGUAGCGCUACUGUCCAAUGAACAAAUAGUGAGGGCAGUACCGCUAACGCCUACACAACAUGCCCGCAUCAACUAGAGCUUUGCUUUACUUUGGUGCGAUUUUUGGAAAA